UGAAAAAAGGUGGCAUGAGGGCUGCCCCAAACCGGUUUCGGUUUAUAGGAUUGUAAGGUCCCGCGUAACCGUCUCCAGUUAUUGAAAAGAAGCCAGGCAACGUUCUGGGGAUCCAACCCAUGGCCUGAACCUGCUAGGCAAGUGCUCUACCACUCAGAAACAUUCUUAACUCCUGGGCUCAAGGAAUCCUCCUGCUUCAGUCCCCUGCCCCAGGUAACUGGGAAUAUUGACCUGCUCCACUGCACCCUUCUCUAACACUCAUUAACUUCAGUUUUCUUUUUUCUGGAUAAGACCAGACCAAAGUCAGCUAGUUUGCAUAAAA